UAAAACCGCCAGGGAAUUACAAGCCCCCGCUUAAAACCCAAGGGACUUGACGGUGUCCCACCCACCUAGAGGAGCCUGUUCUAUAAUCGACACCCCACGAUACACCUCACCACCCCUAGCACAAUCAGUCUGUAUACCUCCGUCGCAAGCUUACCAUGUGAACGCCACAAGUGAGCUAAAAGAUUCUUCCCACCAACACGUCAGGUCAAGGUGCAACUAACGGAAUGGAAAGCAAUGGGCUACAAUUUCUACCAUAGAACAUACAAAAACUGCAUGAAACUCAGCUACUAAGGCGGAUUUAGAAGUAAGAAGAAAACAGAGAGUUCUUUUUAACUUGGCCCUGGGACGCGU
rnacentral:rRNA from 1 species